rnacentral:misc_RNA from 1 species
UUUUAAGGUCUCUGAAGUAGCUUUAAUUCUCACGUCCUUGGCUUCCAUUAUCUUUGAGUGGAGCUGCUCUUGCAUAUUGGCAAGUGGUGUGUUGCUCACCAUGACGAAUAUGGUGGAAAGAAGAGCAGCAAUAGAGGGAGCAGCACCCAAGUUCCUGUAUAAGAUCAGCAGGGCAAAUGUAACCUGAACAGGAAGCAACCAAACUCCAUGAAUAUACCAGCAGAAGUCUCCAAUUCUCUCAACAUCAACAUUGAUGAAGUUUAUGAUCUUCCCGUCUUUUGUUCCGCCAUACUUUAUGGACAAAGUUCUUUUAUAUAUCAAUGCCAUCAGAGCGGCUCUGACUCGAACACCAAUCCGGUUCGCUCCAAAGUACCAUUGCCUUUGGGACAGUGACUCUACUGUUUUGGCAAAGAAGAAGAUGAAGGCUAACAUCAUUCCUUGUUGCCAAUUGGACUCAUCUUUCUUUUCAGACAAAAAAUUCACAAAACUUGUUAUCAGCAAAGGACCAAUAUAGGAAGCAAUUGUGUUAACUCCUGCAAAAA